AACGAACGCUGGCGGCAUGCCUAACACAUGCAAGUCGAACGAGACCUUCGGGUCUAGUGGCGCACGGGUGCGUAACGCGUGGGAACCUGCCUUUAGGUUCGGAAUCACUCAGAGAAAUUUGAGCUAAUACCGGUUGAUGUCUUCGGACCAAAGAUCUCUCGCCUUUGGAUGGGCCCGCGUUGGAUUAGCCGGUUGGUGGGGUAAAGGCCUACCAAGGCGACGUUCCAUAGCUGGUCUGAGAGGAGGACCAGCCGCGCUGGGACUGAGACACGGCCCAGACUGGGACGGGACGCAGCAGAGGGGUAUAUUGGGGGAUGGGGGAUAGCCUGAUCAAGCAACGCGGGGGAUGUGAGGAAGGCCGUAGUGUUGUAAAGCCCUUUGACACGAGACGAGAAUGACAGUAACGGGAGAAUAAGCACCGGCUAACUCCGUG
rnacentral:rRNA from 1 species